CAAAACACAGUCUCAGUUCAGAUUGUAGGCUGAAACUCGCCUAUAUGAAGUCGGAAUUGCUAGUAAUCGCGGAUCAGCAUGCCGCGGUGAAUACGUUCCCGGGCCUUGUACACACCGCCCGUCACACCAUGAGAGUCGAUAACACCCGAAGCCUGUAGUCUAACAGCAAUGAGGACGCAGUCGAAGGUGGGAUUGAUAAUUAGGGUGAAGUCGUAACAAGGUAAC
rnacentral:rRNA from 1 species